rnacentral:rRNA from 1 species
UAGGGAAUCUUCCACAAUGGACGCAAGUCUGAUGGAGCAACGCCGCGUGAGUGAAGAAGGUUUUCGGACCGUAAAGCUCUGUUGUUGGUGAAGAAGGAUAGAGGUAGUAACUGGCCUUUAUUUGACGGUAAUCAACCAGAAAGUCACGGCUAACUACGUGCCAGCAGCCGCGGUAAUACGUAGGUGGCAAGCGUUGUCCGGAUUUAUUGGGCGUAAAGCGAGCGCAGGCGGAAGAAUAAGUCUGAUGUGAAAGCCCUCGGCUUAACCGAGGAAUUGCAUCGGAAACUGUUUUCUUGAGUGCAGAAGAGGAGAGUAGAACUCCAUGUGUAGCGGUGGAAUGCGUAGAUAUAUGGAAGAAUACCAGUGGCGAAGGCGGCUCUCUGGUCUGCAGACUGACGCUGAGGCUCGAAAGCAUGGGUAGCGAACAGGAUUAGAUACCCUGGUAGUCCAUGCCGUAAACGAUGAGUGCUAAGUGUUGGGAGGCUUCCGCCUCUCAGUGCUGCAGCUAACGCAUUAAGCACUCCGCCUGGGGGAGUACGACCGCAAGGUUGAAAC